rnacentral:rRNA from 1 species
CGGACCGGCGCACGGGUGAGUAACGCGUAUCCAACCUGCCUUUACUAUGGGACAGCCCGUCGAAAGGCGGAUUAAUACCGUAUGUUGUCAUGUUGAUGCAUAUUUUCAUGACCAAAGGCUUCGGCCGGUAAAGGAUGGGGAUGCGUCUGAUUAGCUUGCCGGCGGGGUAACGGCCCACCGUGGCGACGAUGCGUAGGGGUUCUGAGAGGAAGGCCCCCCCACACUGGGACUGAGACACGGCCCAGACUCCUACGGGAGGCAGCAG